AUGUUGUAUAAGAAAAAGUUAGCACUCAUUUGACAAGGACAGAAGGCCCUCUGGUCUGUCCAAUGCACCUAUAGCUAAGGCCUUCCACCAGCUUCCAACCAUGGUUUUGA
rnacentral:ncRNA from 1 species